rnacentral:rRNA from 1 species
CGUAGGAUCCGAGCGUUGUCCGGAUCUACUGGGUGUAAAGGGUGCGCAGGCGGACUGGUAAGUCAGUGGUGAAAUCUCGUCGCUUAACGACGAAACUGCCUUUGAUACUAUCAGUCUUGAGUCCGGUAGAGAUCUGUGGAAUUCCGAGUGUAGCAGUGAAAUGUGUGGAUAUUCGGAAGAACACCAGUGGCGAAGGCAGCAGAUUGGGCCGGUACUGACGCUCAUGCACGAAAGCGUGGGGAUCAAACAGGAUUAGAUACCCUGGUAGUCCACGCCCUAACGAUGUACACUUGAUGUCGGCCUGUAAGGGUCGGUGUCGGAGCUAACGCGUUAAGUGUACCACCUGGGGAGUACGCUCGCAAGGGUG